GACGAACGCUGGCGGCGUGCUUAACACAUGCAAGUCGAACGGAAAGGCCCUGCUUUUGUGGGGUGCUCGAGUGGCGAACGGGUGAGUAACACGUGAGUAACCUGCCCUUGACUUUGGGAUAACUUCAGGAAACUGGGGCUAAUACCGGAUAGGAGCUCCUGCUGCAUGGUGGGGGUUGGAAAGUUUCGGCGGUUGGGGAUGGACUCGCGGCUUAUCAGCUUGUUGGUGGGGUAGUGGCUUACCAAGGCUUUGACGGGUAGCCGGCCUGAGAGGGUGACCGGCCACAUUGGGACUGAGAUACGGCCCAGACUCCUACGGGAGGCAGCAGUGGGGAAUAUUGCACAAUGGGCGGAAGCCUGAUGCAGCAACGCCGCGUGCGGGAUGACGGCCUUCGGGUUGUAAACCGCUUUCGCCUGUGACGAAGCGUGAGUGACGGUAAUGGGUAAAGAAGCACCGGCUAACUACGUGCCAGCAGCCGCGGUGAUACGUAGGGUGCGAGCGUUGUCCGGAUUUAUUGGGCGUAAAGGGCUCGUAGGUGGUUGAUCGCGUCGGAAGUGUAAUCUUGGGGCUUAACCCUGAGCGUGCUUUCGAUACGGGUUGACUUGAGGAAGGUAGGGGAGAAUGGAAUUCCUGGUGGAGCGGUGGAAUGCGCAGAUAUCAGGAGGAACACCAGUGGCGAAGGCGGUUCUCUGGGCCUUUCCUGACGCUGAGGAGCGAAAGCGUGGGGAGCGAACAGGCUUAGAUACCCUGGUAGUCCACGCUGUAAACGGUGGGUACUAGGUGUGGGGUCCAUUCCACGGGUUCCGUGCCGUAGCUAACGCUUUAAGUACCCCGCCUGGGGAGUACGGCCGCAAGGCUAAAACUCAAAGGAAUUGACGGGGCCCCGCACAAGCGGCGGAGCAUGCGGAUUAAUUCGAUGCAACGCGUAGAACCUUACCUGGGUUUGACAUGGAUCGGGAGUGCUCAGAGAUGGGUGUGCCUCUUUUGGGGUCGGUUCACAGGUGGUGCAUGGCUGUCGUCAGCUCGUGUCGUGAGAUGUUGGGUUAAGUCCCGCAACGAGCGCAACCCUUGUUCACUGUUGCCAGCACGUUAUGGUGGGGACUCAGUGGAGACCGCCGGGGUCAACUCGGAGGAAGGUGGGGAUGACGUCAAGUCAUCAUGCCCCUUAUGUCCAGGGCUUCACGCAUGCUACAAUGGCUGGUACAGAGAGUGGCGAGCCUGUGAGGGUGAGCGAAUCUCGGAAAGCCGGUCUCAGUUCGGAUUGGGGUCUGCAACUCGACCUCAUGAAGUCGGAGUCGCUAGUAAUCGCAGAUCAGCAACGCUGCGGUGAAUAAAAGCCCGGGGCU
rnacentral:rRNA from 1 species